rnacentral:rRNA from 1 species
AAUUGAUUUUUAAAUGAAAUCUGGAAUGAAAGGAUUAAUGAAAUAUAUACUGUCUCAUAUAUAUAUUUAUGAAUUUAAAAUUUUAAUAAAAAUGUUAAAAUUUAUUUAUGGGACGAUAAGACCCUAUAGAAUUUUAUAUUAAUUUAAUUAUUUAAUUAAUAAAUAAUUUAAAUUAAUAUUUAAUUGGGAGGAUUAUUAAAUUUAAAAAACUUUAAUUUAUAAAAACUUUAAUUAAAGAAAAUAUUAUGAUCUUGAAUUUUAAAUUAUUAGAAUAAAUUACCUUAGGGAUAACAGCGUAAUAUUUUUUUAUAGAUCUUAUAGAAAAAAAUGAUUGCGAG